GACGUAGGGCGCGAGCGUUGUCCGGAUUUAUUGGGCGUAAAGAGCUCGUAGGCGGCUUGUCGCGUCGGCUGUGAAAUCCCGCGGCUCAACUGCGGGUCUGCAGUCGAUACGGGCAGGCUAGAGUUCGGUAGGGGAGACUGGAAUUCCUGGUGUAGCGGUGAAAUGCGCAGAUAUCAGGAGGAACACCGGUGGCGAAGGCGGGUCUCUGGGCCGAUACUGACGCUGAGGAGCGAAAGCGUGGGGAGCGAACAGG
rnacentral:rRNA from 1 species